rnacentral:rRNA from 1 species
GACGAACGCUGGCGGCGUGCUUAACACAUGCAAGUCGUACGGUAAGGCCCUUUCGGGGGUACACGAGUGGCGAACGGGUGAGUAACACGUGAGUAACCUGCCCACAACUUUGGGAUAACGCUAGGAAACUGGUGCUAAUACUGGAUAUGUGCUCCUGCUGCAUGGUGGGGGUUGGAAAGCUCCGGCGGUUGUGGAUGGACUCGCGGCCUAUCAGCUUGUUGGUGGGGUAGUGGCCUACCAAGGCGGCGACGGGUAGCCGGCCUGAGAGGGUGACCGGCCACAUUGGGACUGAGAUACGGCCCAGACUCCUACGGGAGGCAGCAGUGGGGAAUAUUGCACAAUGGGCGCAAGCCUGAUGCAGCAACGCCGCGUGCGGGAUGACGGCCUUCGGGUUGUAAACCGCUUCCAGCAGGGACGAAGCUUUUUGUGACGGUACCUGCAGAAGAAGCACCGGCUAACUACGUG